AGUGAACGCUGGCGGUAGGCCUAACACAUGCAAGUCGAACGGCAGCACAGUAAGAGCUUGCUCUUACGGGUGGCGAGUGGCGGACGGGUGAGGAAUACAUCGGCAUCUACUUUUUCGUGGGGGAUAACGUAGUGAAACUUACGCUAAUACCGCAUACGACCUACGGGUGAAAGCAGGGGAUCUUCGGACCUUGCGCGAUUGAAUGAGCCGAUGUCGGAUUAGCUAGUUGGCGGGGUAAAGGCCCACCAAGGCGACGAUCCGUAGCUGGUCUGAGAGGAUGAUCAGCCACACUGGAACUGAGACACGGUCCAGACUCCUACGGGAGGCAGCAGUGGGGAAUAUUGGACAAUGGGCGCAAGCCUGAUCCAGCCAUACCGCGUGGGUGAAGAAGGCCUUCGGGUUGUAAAGCCCUUUUGUUGGGAAAGAAAAGCAGCAGGUUAAUACCCCGCUGUUCUGACGGUACCCAAAGAAUAAGCGCCGGCUAACUUCGUG
rnacentral:rRNA from 1 species